AUUGAACGCUGGCGGCAGGCCUAACACAUGCAAGUCGAACGGUAACAGGAAGACGCUUGCUUCUUUGCUGACGAGUGGCGGACGGGUGAGUAAUGUCUGGGAAACUGCCUGAUGGAGGGGGAUAACUACUGGAAACGGUAGCUAAUACCGCAUAACGUCGCAAGCCCAAAGAGGGGGACCUUCUGGCCUCUUGCCAUCGGAUAUGCCCAGAUGGGAUUAGCUAGUAGGUGGGGUAACGGCUUACCUAGGCGACGAUCCGUAGCUGAUCUGAGAGUAUGACCGGCCACACUGGAACUGAGACACGGUCCAGACUCCUACGGGAGGCAGCAGUGGGGAAUAUUGCACAAUGGGCGCAAGCCUGAUGCAGCCAUGCCGCGUGUAUGAAGAAGGCCUUCGGGUCGUAAAGUACUUUCAGCGGGGAGGAAGGGAGUAAAGUGAAUACAUUCGCUGAUUGACGUUACCCGCAGAAGAAGCACCGGCUAACUACGUG
rnacentral:rRNA from 1 species